rnacentral:rRNA from 1 species
CUGGAGGUAUCAGAAGUGCGAAUGCUGACAUAAGUAACGAUAAAGCGGGUGAAAAGCCCGCUCGCCGGAAGACCAAGGGUUCCUGUCCAACGUUAAUCGGGGCAGGGUGAGUCGACCCCUAAGGCGAGGCCGAAAGGCGUAGUCGAUGGGAAACAGGUUAAUAUUCCUGUACUUGGUGUUACUGCGAAGGGGGGACGGAGAAGGCUAUGUUGGCCGGGCGACGGUUGUCCCGGUUUAAGCGUGUAGGCUGGUUUUCCAGGCAAAUCCGGAAAAUCAAGGCUGAGGCGUGAUGACGAGGCACUACGGUGCUGAAGCAACAAAUGCCCUGCUUCCAGGAAAAGCCUCUAAGCAUCAGGUAACAUCAAAUCGUACCCCAAACCGACACAGGUGGUCAGGUAGAGAAUACCAAGGCGCUUGAGAGAACUCGGGUGAAGGAACUAGGCAAAAUGGUGCCGUAACUUCGGGAGAAGGCACGCUGAUAUGUAGGUGAAGCGACUUGCUCGUGGAGCUGAAAUCAGUCGAAGAUACCAGCUGGCUGCAACUGUUUAUUAAAAACACAGCACUGUGCAAACACGAAAGUGGACGUAUACGGUGUGACGCCUGCCCGGUGCCGGAAGGUUAAUUGAUGGGGUCAGCGCAAGCGAAGCUCUU